rnacentral:misc_RNA from 1 species
AGUCGUAACAAGGUCAUCGUAGGUGAACCUGCGGUGGGAUCAUUAUUGAUUUAUACCUGGUAGUUUCUUCUUAGGAAGGCUACUAACUUGUGUGGGAGAGUUUUUUUUAGUAGGGAAGAUCAGUACUACGUGCUUUUUUUCUCCUACGAAGAGGUGUCGUUUUGUGUUUAUGGACGUUCUUAGGAAGGUUCAUAACACAAAACUUCACUUUCUUACUAUAAAACCUUAUGAACUAGUUGCUAUGGAAAAAAAUUAUAAUUCAUUAUGAAAUGUAAUAAACUCAUACAACUAUCAAUGGCGGAUCACUUGGCUCUU